UACGUAGGGCGCAAGCGUUAUCCGGAAUUAUUGGGCGUAAAGAGCUCGUAGGCGGUUUGUCGCGUCUGCCGUGAAAGUCCGGGGCUCAACUCCGGAUCUGCGGUGGGUACGGGCAGACUAGAGUGUGGUAGGGGAGACUGGAAUUCCUGGUGUAGCGGUGAAAUGCGCAGAUAUCAGGAGGAACACCGGUGGCGAAGGCGGGUCUCUGGGCCGG
rnacentral:rRNA from 1 species